GACGAACGCUGGCGGCGUGCUUAACACAUGCAAGUCGAACGAUGAACCCGGAGCUUGCUCCGGUGGAUUAGUGGCGAACGGGUGAGUAACACGUGAGUAACCUGCCCUUGACUCUGGGAUAACUGCGGGAAACUGUAGCUAAUACCGGAUACGACCCUCGGCGGCAUCGCCAGGGGGUGGAAAGAAUUUCGGUCAAGGAUGGACUCGCGGCCUAUCAGCUAGUUGGUGAGGUAACGGCUCACCAAGGCGACGACGGGUAGCCGGCCUGAGAGGGGGACCGGCCACACUGGGACUGAGAUACGGCCCAGACUCCUACGGGAGGCAGCAGUGGGGAAUAUUGCACAAUGGGCGCAAGCCUGAUGCAGCGACGCCGCGUGAGGGAUGACGGCCUUCGGGUUGUAAACCUCUUUCAGUAGGGACGAAGCGCAAGUGACGGUACCUACAGAAGAAGGACCGGCCAACUACGUGCCAGCAGCCGCAGUAA
rnacentral:rRNA from 1 species